rnacentral:rRNA from 1 species
CGGAGGGUGCAAGCGUUAAUCGGAAUUACUGGGCGUAAAGCGCGCGUAGGCGGUUUGAUAAGCGGAGUGUGAAAUCCCCGGGCUUAACCUGGGAACUGCAUUCCGAACUGUCAAGCUAGAGUAUGGUAGAGGGUGGCGGAAUUCCGAGUGUAGCGGUGAAAUGCGUAGAUAUUCGGAGGAACACCAGUGGCGAAGGCGGCCACCUGGACCAAUACUGACGCUGAGGCGCGAAAGCGUGGGAGCAAACAGGAUUAGAUACCCUGGUAGUCCACGCUGUAAACGAUGUCAACUAGCCGUUGGAGUCUUUAAGGCUUUAGUGGUGCAGCUAACGCGAUAAGUUGACCGCCUGGGGAGUACGGUCGCAAGAUUA